rnacentral:lncRNA from 1 species
UUUUUUUUUUUUUUUUUUUUUUUUUGGCUAGAGGACACAAAGACAGCCAGAGAAAUUCCAAAUAACACACACUGGCUGGAUGAAAUUGCUUCAGUGAUAGAUAUUUAAACAAUUUUUAUUUUUAGCUGGGCGCGGUGGCUCACACCUGUAAUCCAAGCACUUUGGGAGGCCAAGGCGGGUGGAUCUCUUGAGGCCAGGGGUUCAAGACCAGCUCACUACAGCAUGAUGAAACCCCAUCUCUACUAAAAAUACAAAAGUUAGCUGGGUGUGGUGGCUCGCGCCUGUAAUCCCAGCUACUCAGGAAGCUGAGAUAGGAGAAUCGCUUGAACCCGGGAAGCAGAGGUUGCAGUGAGCCGAGAUGGCGCCACUACACUCCAGCCUGGGUGAUAGAGCAAGAUUCCGUCUCAAAAAACAAAACAAAAUUUUAUUUUUAUUUAUUUAAUACACAUACGUAUACACACACACACACACACACACACACACACAUAUGUGCUCUGAUGCACUGGAGCUUCCACUGGUCUUACUUAAUGUGUGUGAUACUCUCAUUAUUUAUGUAUCUAUAUAUAUCUAUAUCUAUAUUUAUAUAUAUAUAUAGAGAGAGAGAUAGAGAGAUGGGAUCUUGCUGUGUUGCCCAGACUGUCUCAAGCUCCUGGCCUUGGGCAAUCUUCCCACCUUGGCCUCCCAAAAUGCUGGUAUUACAGUAUUUAAUUUUUAGGUGUUUUUUGUUUUUUCGGGGGCUGCAUUUUUGGAGAUAGGGUCUUGCUAUGUUGCCCCGGGUGGAAUGUAGUGGCUGUUCACCAGUGCCAUCAUAGCUCACUGCAUCCUUAAACUCCUGGCUCAAGCAGUCUUCUCCCCUCAGCCUCCUGAAUAGCUGGGACUACAGGCAUGUGCCACCACACCUGGCUAUCCUACGCAAUAUGAGACCAGGAAGUUGUCAUCUGUGUGGAGAGGAAUAAGUGUAAUCCCACAUAGGGGGGUAGUCUAAAACAACAUGGAGAGUACCUUUAGACCUGGAUUUCGGGGCUCAGCCUUGCCAUGGGAAGGAGGCAUGGUGUGUAGCAGUGGUUACCAGACUUCUUUCAGUAGUUUAAAGCAAUAAAAAAAAGAUGAAAGACUGA